rnacentral:rRNA from 1 species
UACGUAGGGGGCAAGCGUUGUCCGGAUUUAUUGGGCGUAAAGAGCGUGUAGGCGGCCAUUCAGGUCAGCUGUGAAAACUCGAGGCUCAACCUCGAGACGUCGGUUGAAACCGUUUGGCUAGAGUCCGGAAGAGGAGAGUGGAAUUCCCGGUGUAGCGGUGAAAUGCGCAGAUAUCGGGAAGAACACCCGUGGCGAAGGCGGCUCUCUGGGACGGUACUGACGCUGAGGUGCGAAAGCGUGGGGAGCAAACAGG